rnacentral:lncRNA from 1 species
CUAACGCUGGUCACAUUUACUGAGGAGCCAACCACAGAAUAUCCUACCGAAUCAAAUGUUUCUUCUUCAACCUUAGACUACAAACCACCAGCCCGUUCUCUGGUGAGGCAUGAAGGAAUCAAACACUCAACACGAACCAUACCAAGCACCUGUCCUCCACCCAACCUGCGUCCUUUAAUGAUGUGUCCCGGAACACUCUUCGGGAGUGGUGUCAUUAUCAUAACUUGAUGGCAAGAAAGUUGAGGUUUAUUUGAGACUUCGGAGACAUUGAUAUUUUAAGCAAGAAUGUUAUAUUCCCAAUACAUCUUGUGAGACCAGAAUGAAGCAGGGUCCCAAGAAACCCAAGAUAGUCUUCAGAGGAAUCGGUCUUCCAAGCAUUUGCCAAAGUAGAAAGCAGGAGAGCGGUAUCCUAGAAAUUCUAACUUCACCUAAGUGGUUCACAUUUGCAACCUGGACAAGGAUUGCCAUGAGAGCUGCCCGGUCAAUGUUUAUGAAUCGAUGUCCUCCUUCCUCUAAUGUACAGGCCUUUCUGUCAUUGGAUUCAGAUGGUGUGUUGUCCAUGGCAGGCAGUGCCCUGCAGAUAAGAAAGGUUGGGUUCGCCUGCAAUUUCUUGCUGGUCAGACCUGGGUUCCAGACUCCCCAAAGGAUGAAUUUUCUCUUCCCGUUACCAGCCUGUGUUAUCCCAGAACCAGGAGUGCAAGAUAAUUUGCUAUGUCCUGAAUGUGUUCACAGCAUCAAGAUCAUGAGGACCUUUAAAACUAGAAGCUGUACAAAGAAAAAUGUCCUAUCCCCAAGUAUGCCGCUUU